rnacentral:misc_RNA from 1 species
UGUAGGAGCUGCCGAAGGCUGCGAUCUUUUGAUCUUGAUCUUUAAAAGGCAAAAGAUCGCAGCCUUCGGCAGCUCCUACA